rnacentral:lncRNA from 1 species
GGCAAAAAAAACAGAUGAAAAAAACCAUGGAGGCGAGGCUACCAAGUGAUACAUUGGUGCAUUCAAAUUCUUUUUCUCAGAUGAUAUUUGACGAAUUUGCUCAUGACACCCAUAAAGAGUCAAUUUAUUUAAUAAUAUAAAUGCAAAUUUAGAAAAGAAAGGAUUGCCUAUAGAUUCUUCCCCUUGGGAGAGAUUUGCUGCAUCUUGGCAUGGCACCGAGGAAGAUUCAAUCAAACUAAUCAGAUUGUCUCCCAAUUUUUGGAAAGAGGGAAUUGCAUCUAGAUUCAUUCCCUCGAGAGAGAUUUGACGCAUUUUCUUAGGACACACAUAAGGAGCCAAUGAAUUAAUAAGAUUGCCUCUGAUUUUAGAAAGAGAGAAUAUCUUCCGGUUUAAUUGCAAUCAGUUUUCGCCACCUUAUUUUGAAAAUCUUUCCAAACAAUGGAAAGGUUUAUGGAAAUCCUGACAGGGCAAUUUGGGUAUGUGUAUAUAUAGGAUUGUGCAUCUGUGAAUGGACAAAUCAUCUUGUAGUUUUGCCUACAACACAAAUUCUCUUGUCAAUCUCGAUCCUGUUAAUAAGCACAAACAAAUAUCACGGUUGCAUUAGAUUAUCUAGAUGGACAAGUACAUGACGGCGCCACUCCUGUUUUCUCUACUUCUUUUUGUAUGCCUUGCUACGACGACACAAUGUAAGUGUUUGAUACACAACUCUACUUCUGCUAAUCUUUCUUUACAAUUAUGUGCUUGCAUAGGUUAAUUAUACUCAUGUAAUAAUUUAAUUUUUAUGUUUAUCCUGGAAGUUGGUAUUUUGUUAGCGCAUGACACCUGUUUUUUUUCAUUCUUGUGCCAUCUGGUCCUUUGUUAAUCAAUAGGAAAUCAUACUAAUAUCAAUUAUUUGUCUGUACAUUUUUUAUAGGUCAAAUCACCAACAGCAUGGAUAAUGAUAAGAUCAAUUUACCAAGCGGGUUGUGCGUAUAUAGAAAAGAUGUUCAGCUCUAUUGUUGCCUUGUGUCGAAGUUAUGCUAUAACCCACUAGAACUAUGCGUUGAAGGUUGCAAAAGUUGACUCCUAUCAAAUUGACCUUUUAUUCGAAGAAGUAAUAUGUAAUGCGGAAGUCAUAUUUGAAAUAAAGAGUAGUAGAUUUGUUGUCAUCUGAUGGGUCAGUCCUGUUGCAAGUAAACUCUCG